rnacentral:rRNA from 1 species
GAUGAACGCUGGCGGCGUGCCUAAUACAUGCAAGUCGAGCGAACGGACGAGAAGCUUGCUUCUCUGAUGUUAGCGGCGGACGGGUGAGUAACACGUGGAUAACCUACCUAUAAGACUGGGAUAACUUCGGGAAACCGGAGCUAAUACCGGAUAAUAUUUUGAACCGCAUGGUUCAAAAGUGGAAGACGGUCUUGCUGUCACUUAUAGAUGGAUCCGCGCUGCAUUAGCUAGUUGGUAAGGUAACGGCUUACCAAGGCAACGAUGCAUAGCCGACCUGAGAGGGUGAUCGGCCACACUGGAACUGAGACACGGUCCAGACUCCUACGGGAGGCAGCAGUAGGGAAUCUUCCGCAAUGGGCGAAAGCCUGACGGAGCAACGCCGCGUGAGUGAUGAAGGUCUUCGGAUCGUAAAACUCUGUUAUUAGGGAAGAACAUAUGUGUAAGUAACUGUGCACAUCUUGACGGUACCUAAUCAGAAAGCAACGGCUAACUACGUG